GGGCUAGUAGCUCAAUUGGCAGAGCAUCUGACUCUUAAUCAGAGGGUUGGGGGUUCGAUUCCUCCCUAGCCCA
rnacentral:tRNA from 1 species